rnacentral:rRNA from 1 species
GACGAACGCUGGCGGCGUGCUUAACACAUGCCAGUCGAACGGAAAGGCCCUGCUUGCAGGGUACUCGAGUGGCGAACGGGUGAGUAACACGUGGGUGAUCUGCCCUGCACUUCGGGAUAAGCCUGGGAAACUGGGUCUAAUACCGGAUAUGACCUUCCAUGUAGUGUGGGGGGUGGAAAGAUUUAUCGGUGUGGGAUGAGCCCGCGGCCUAUCAGCUUGUUGGUGGGGUAAUGGCCUACCAAGGCGUCGACGGGUAGCCGGCCUGAGAGGGUGGACGGCCACAUUGGGACUGAGAUACGGCCCAGACUCCUACGGGAGGCAGCAGUGGGGAAUAUUACACAAUGGGCGGAAGCCUUAUGCAGCGACGCCGCGUGGGGGAUGACGGCCUUCGGGUUGUAAACCUCUUUCGACAGGGACGAAGCUUCGGUGACGGUACCUGUAUAAGAAGCACCGGCUAACUACGUG